UUGUGGAGGAGGACGCCGAAGGUGGGGCUGAUGACUGGGGUGAAGUCGUAACAAGGUAGCCGUACCGGAAGGUGCGGCUGGAUCACCUCCUAACAGGGAGACAAAAACUGAUCAUUAUGUCUGAGUAAAAUAUCUUAGACAAUGGUCCUGUCACCUUAGGUCGAUCGGUACCUCAAACUAAUUGCUGAUUUAUUAUCAAUUAGUCUUGGUUCCUAAACUUUUUUGUCUAGGUCACACCCAACAAGGGUUACUCCUGGGCCAUUAGCUCAGGUGGUUAGAGCGCACCCCUGAUAAGGGUGAGGUCCCUGGUUCAAGUCCAGGAUGGCCCAUUCGGUGUUUGGGGGUUUAGCUCAGUUGGUAGAGCGCCUGCUUUGCAAGCAGGAUGUCAGCGGUUCGAGUCCGCUAACCUCCACUGACCAACUUCUUGAGGCGCCCAAAUAAUGAGUGCCUUUGUAGAAAAUGUGAUCUAGAUUUGAUCUUGCUGAUUUGGAACCUAGCCUCCUAUCACUCCAGCCCUAAUAAUUGAAUUGGGUAAGGUUGAAAGGAUGCUGGGCUCACUUGGAUUUGAAUGAAUUCAAGGAAAGUUCGGCAGAACCUUGACAACUGCAUAGUUUAAGUCUGGAAAGAAUAAAGCAUCUCAUUGAUUUAUUAUUCUUUCGAGUGAAAUAUAAAGCUAAUCUGAUUAGUCUUGAUAUUUAAUUUACGCGAAAGUUUAAUAGCAAUUCUUGAGUUAAGAGCCAAGACUCUGUAUCAAUUUCACUUAAUUAUUUAAUUGAUUAAUUGGUAUAGAGAUUGAUUGGUCAAGCUACAA
rnacentral:misc_RNA from 1 species